ACUGACUUGAAUGACAGCAGAAAGAAGUGAAGCCUUAAAGGUGGAGCUAACAGAUCCUUACUGCACUCUAAAAGUGAAUGCUGGGGUGAGUUCAGCAGUGCACAUGCGCAGUACAGAAGUGCGGGAAGCUUCCAGAAACCCUGUGGACUUACACAUUGGAAGAAGCUGAUCUUCUCUAAAGACCAGUGAUGUUGUUGCCAUGAGGACUGCUGUCCUGCGAUGUCUCUCGGUUUUCCUCGGGGGUGAUGAAAGAGACUUCUACAAUGCCUCUUUUGAUUCAGAUGCUGUGGCAGACUUCACCCAGGUUCCUGUGGGAUUAUUGCCUGUUAUUCCUGAAGUCAGUCAGCAACCAGGUCCGAAUGCUCUUCACCUUGAACCAUCCAGCAUGUUAUCAUUCUGGAAGGUACAAUUGUCAUGGUUGACACUGAACGCCACCAUCAAGCUGUUUGUCUCAUAUUUGGGCUGAUCUAUGCCCUUCAUAUUUGGGCUGAUCUAUGCCCUUCAUAUUUGGGCUGAUCUAUGCCCUUCAUAUUUGGACUGAUCUAUGCCCUUCAUAUUUGGGCUGAUCUAUGCCCUUCAUAUUUGGACUGAUCUAUGCCCUUCAUAUUUGGACUGAUCUAUGCCCUUCAUAUUUGGACUGAUCUAUGCCCUCCAUCCUGACAGUCCUAAAAAGCACCUUUGACUUCAUUCAGAGACUGAUGCUCAGUCUGGUUUUUUUUAUGCCAUUACUUGUAUUUCUAUGUUUUUUCUUAUUGUGUAUUCAUUUAAUAUAUUUUUUUUAACUUACUAUCAUAUUUUAAUUAGAUUUUUUUUUUUCGCACUGUAUUAUCAAAUAAGUUGGUAAAGUUCUUAUUUUGUAUUUGUUGGAUGCAAUGUUUGGCCCAUGAAUUACUUCAUCAAGCUAUUUAUUUAUUUCUGUUUACUGCCAAGUAUGUCAGAAUCUGUCCUCCAUAUUGAACUACUUAAAUCACUUUUUUAAAAAAUGUUACAGUGCUAGAGUGCCUGCUUGUUACAGUUCAAAAUAAACUGUUUUAGUUGCUGCUCAUUCAGCCUGUAAGCUUACUUAAGCAUCUUUCUGGUAUUAGUUAUUGAGCCCUGUGGAAGGGUAAAAACGUGAUUAGUUUUGUAUUUGUGCAUGUGUGGCCACAUUGG